AUCACUUCUCAGCCUUUUGGCUAAGAUCAAGUGUAGUAUCUGUUCUUAUCAGAAAGGUUAUAGAUGAUGUCUAAAUACCUUUGUUCUUUUCUUUAAUUUAUUCUCU
ensembl:snRNA U2 U2 spliceosomal RNA